rnacentral:rRNA from 1 species
CACGUAGGGCGCGAGCGUUGUCCGGAAUUAUUGGGCGUAAAGAGCUCGUAGGCGGCCUGUUGCGUCCGCUGUGAAAGCCCCGGGGCUUAACCCCGGGUCUGCAUUCGAUACGGGCUAGCUAGAGUGUGGUAGGGGAGAUCGGAAUUCCUGGUGUAGCGGUGAAAUGCGCAGAUAUCAGGAAGAACACCCGUGGCGAAAGCGGCUCUCUGGAACGGUACUGACGCUGAGACGCGAAAGCGUGGGGAGCGAACAGG